GUAGUUAGCCGUGGCUUCCUUCUCGGCUACCGUCAUUAUCUUCACCAAGAACAGAGGUUUACAAUCCGAAAACCGUCAUCCCUCACGCGGCGUUGCUGCAUCAGGCUUUCGCCCAUUGCCCAAUAUUCCCCACUGCUGCCUCCCGUAGGAGUCUGGACCGUGUCUCAGUUCCAGUGUGGCCGAUCAGCCUCUCAGCUCGGCUACCCAUCGUCGACUUGGUGGGCCGUUACCCCGCCAACUAUCUAAUGGGACGCGAGCCCCUCCUUCAGCGAAUUGCUCCUUUGACCCCUCUACCAUGCGGUAGCGUGGUCUCAUGCGGUAUUAGCAGUAAUUUCUCACUGUUAUCCCCCUCUGAAGGACAGGUUGCUCACGCGUUACUCACCCGUUCGCCACUAACUCAAGGAGCAAGCUCCUCUCGUCCGUUCGACUUGCAUGUGUUAGGCACGCCGCCAGCGUUCGUCCUGAGCCAUAAUCAAACUCUGA
rnacentral:rRNA from 1 species